UCGCGCGGCGCGGAGGGAGCGGGCGGUGAAUUGCCCCCUUCCCUCCGUCGGCGCGCACAC
ensembl:miRNA MIR7455 microRNA 7455